rnacentral:rRNA from 1 species
UACGAAGGGGGCUAGCGUUGCUCGGAAUCACUGGGCGUAAAGGGUGCGUAGGCGGCGGGGUAAGUCGGGUGUGAAAUCUCAGAGCUCAACUCUGAAAUGGCACUUGAUACUGCUCUGCUAGAGGACUGGAGAGGAGAUUGGAAUUCACGGUGUAGCAGUGAAAUGCGUAGAUAUCGUGAGGAAGACCGGUGGCGAAGGCGGAUCUCUGGACAGUUCCUGACGCUGAGGCGCGAAGGCCAGGGGAGCAAACGGG